ACGUUACCUUGUUACGACUUAACCCCAGUCAUCGAUCCUGCCUUCGACGGCUCACUCCUCUAAUGAGGUCAUGCCACCGGCUUCGGGCAUUACCGACUCCCAUGGUUUGACGGGCGGUGUGUACAAGGCCCGGGAACGUAUUCACCGCGGCAUGCUGAUCCGCGAUUACUAGCGAUUCCAACUUCAUGGAGGCGGGUUGCAGCCUCCAAUCCGAACUGGGACGGCUUUUAUGAGAUUCGCUCGACAUCCCUGUCUCGCUGCUCUUUGUAGCCGCCAUUGUAGUACGUGUGUAGCCCAGGCCAUAAGGGGCAUGAUGAUUUGACGUCAUCCCCGCCUUCCUCCGGUUUGUCACCGGCAGUCUGGCAUGAGUCCUCAGCUUUUCCUGUUAGCAACAUGCCACAAGGGUUGCGCUCGUUGCGGGACUUGACCCACCAUC
rnacentral:rRNA from 1 species